rnacentral:rRNA from 1 species
AUUGAACGCUAGCGGGAUGCCUUACACAUGCAAGUCGAACGGCAGCAUAAGAGAGCUUGCUCUCUUGAUGGCGAGUGGCGAACGGGUGAGUAAUGUAUCGGAACGUGCCCAGCAGCGGGGGAUAACUACGCGAAAGCGUAGCUAAUACCCCAUAUGAGCGUACCUGAAAUGGUAUUCUUGAAAACUCCGGUGCUCUAGGAUGAGUCUGCAUCUGAUUAGCUAGUUGGGGGUGUAAUGGACCACCAAGGCGACGAUCAGUAGCUGGUUUGAGAGGAUGAUCAGCCACAAUGGGACUGAGACACGGCCCAU